UCUUGCUGGAGGCAGAGGUUAACAAGGUGACUCACAGUCCCGGAGUCAAGAACCAUCACAUCCACACUGAUCCUUUUAAACCUACUGGCUCAUUUUGCUACCAUUGACCAUAAGAUAUUGUUGACAUGGCUGCACAUCCUGCUAACAAUAGAUGGGGUCACUCUUGAAUAGCUCCUUUCUUUUUCCUCCUGGAAGAUUCAGAUGAUGUUAUGGGGUAAUCACUGAACUUCCCUUUUGCAUGGGGUCUCACCAGAUUCUGUCACUUCCCUUUUCUACAGUUAUAUAUGGGACUUUAGGAGAGAAAGUGGGGUGGGUAUGGGCUGUGGUGCUUCCAGUAUGUGCAUGACACUCAACAGGAUGUGUCUGAUACAAACACCAUUUCAGUCAUUGGAAGGAUUCUCUUUGACUUCUAUUGACACUGGAACAGGUGCUAAUUUUUUUGUCUCAUCUGAUACAGUUGGUGUAGCUGACUAAUUUCCAUGUUGGGAUCAGGAGCUGUAUGCAGAUCUGCAACAACCAGUCCAUAAACCUGUAAGACUCCAAACUUCAGAAGGCAGAACUUAAAUCAGCAUAGUAAUUGAGCAAAAACAUAUUUGAAAGCUGUGAUUUAACACUUUCACCACUGAAGGUUCAGAUAAAAUGCACUACAGUAAUCCAGUCAGUAAGUGAUAAACAUAUAGAUCAGUGUGUCCAGAUCCUUGAUAUAGAAGAAUCCCUUUUACCUUGUAGACCAAGGGUCCUAGCUAGGUAAAUAUAUGUUUACAAUGAUCAGUUCUCCAUUCUAUUAGAUUUUUCCGUGUUCCCUUUUAAUGCUUGGCUCACCUUUAGAGCAAUAUAACUUUCCUUAAUCUUCCCCCUCAAAAAUAUUUUAGACAUAAAAUCUUUGGCCUAACCUUUUAAAGUGCUGAACACCUGAAAUUCCUACUGAAUUUUGAUUAAUAGAU